ACCAGGAUGGCCUAGUUGUUAAGGUGUUGGACUUAAGAUCCAAUAGACAAGCGUCCACGUGGGUUCGAACCCCACUCCUGGUA